AGGGCAACCCGCCAAGAACGAGGGCUCCUUCCUGCUCCCUCCUGCGUGCACUGUGGGAGAAGGUGAGGGACUGAGGAGAGGAGGAGACGGUGCUGUCAGUGGCGACGAGCGUCUGCAGCGGCGGCGGCGGCCAUGAGCUGGAGGAAAGCCGGAGGGGAUGGAGGCGUGUCCAAGCGGUGGGCCGUGCUCCUCUGCCUCGGGAGCUUCUGCCUCGGCCUGCUCUUCACCAACAGAAUGUGGACACUGCCUGAGGCAACUGAGGUUCCAUUACCGAAUCAAAGCGUUGAGGAAGGCAAAGCUCUAGUUGCUGCAGAUUGUGGUUCAAAAAAGGUUCAAGAACUGCAAAAAUACAAAGAUGUGUUACCAGACCAAGAUACUCAUCAUGAUGUACAGACACUAGAUAAGACAAUAGCGACCUUAGAGACAGAACUCUCGGCUGCUAGAACCCUGCAAGAGUCAUUGCUCAACGGUUCCCCUGUUUCAGAAGACUUCAAAGUUUCUGAGUCGAUUGGGAGGAGAAAGUACCGUAUGGUGAUUGGCAUCAAUACCGCUUUUAGCAGUCGCAAGAGAAGAGAUUCCAUACGUUACACCUGGAUGCCUCGAGGUGAGAAAAGGAAACAACUUGAAGAACAGAAGGGGGUCAUAAUUCGGUUUGUCAUCGGUCACAGUGCUAUAGCAGGCGGAAUUAUUGAUAGAGCAAUUGAAGCAGAGGACAGGAAACAUGGGGAUUUCAUGAAGAUAGAUCAUGUCGAAGGAUACCUUGCCCUAUCUGGCAAAACUAAGACAUACUUUGCUACAGCUGUUUCAUUAUGGGAUGCAGAUUUUUAUGUGAAAGUUGAUGACGACGUGCAUGUGAACAUAGCAACGCUUGGACAGAUAUUGUCCAAACAGGCAUGGAAGCCAAGAGUAUAUAUGGGCUGCAUGAAAUCUGGCCCUGUCCUAUCUGAAAAGGGUGUGAGAUACUAUGAGCCUGAGCAUUGGAAGUUCGGCGAACCAGGAAAUAAGUAUUUCCGACAUGCUACCGGUCAAUUAUACGCCAUUUCAAAAGAUCUAGCAACCUACAUAUCAAUAAACAAGCACGUCCUACACAAGUAUAUAAACGAGGACGUUUCGCUAGGAUCUUGGUUCCUCGGGUUAGAUGUCGAGCACAUCGAUGACCGGAGACUCUGUUGCGGUACUCCACCUGACUGCGAAUGGAAAGCUCAGGCAGGGAACACCUGCGCGGCGUCAUUCGACUGGAAGUGCAGCGGCAUAUGCAACUCGGAAGGCAGGAUCUGGGAGGUGCACAAUAAGUGCGCCGAGGGCGAUAAGGCGCUGUGGAAUUCCACUUUCUAGCGUGGUCGGAACCCUGACUGAACCAGAAGAAGCUCUCCUCUCCUUCAUGUUUGUUAGUUGUUGUAUACUAGAUCGCCCCACGGUGCUGUGUAUGUAAUUCAUCCUGUAGGUAUAGCUGUGGUUUUGACUGUGGGACUGGCUGACACCGACGAAGCGGACCACAAUUUUACGUAGCGUCUGUCCGCCGGUGGCGCCGGAGGCGAAGGUGAAGGCGAAGCAGGGUAUACGAGCUGUCGCCGCAUUCUUUUGGUGGAUAAAAUGUUGCAGGUGGCCAUUCUGUACCGAUCUCCUGUGCUGUUUGGCUACCACAGAUGUAUGACCGAAAUAAAACGUCCCUGAAUCCUGCAUUUCAGUGCAUUCUGGACUAGUAUUGUGUUUGUAACAGCUGAGGCUCACUCUAAAUGAAAGGGAAAAUUCAUGAUCUGCCGUUCCAAA
rnacentral:rRNA from 1 species